rnacentral:misc_RNA from 1 species
GAUAUAGUAAGGAUUGACAGA